UGUUCAUUUGCUCAGCGUCUUAGGGUUUUGAUCUCAGCGGAAAUGGGGAAGCAUAGCAGAUCCAAGCGAUCGGAGAAUUUCGGAACGGGGAAAAUCACUCCGAGGCAGGUCGCCUUCCUCGUCGAUCGCUACCUCUGCGACAAUCGCUUCUCCGAAACCCGAUCCAUGUUCAGAUCUGAAGCUUCUUCUCUCAUAUCCAAUUCUCCAGCUCGCGAGGUUCCGAAGAGUUUGAUGACUUUGGAUGAUAUUAUAACAGAAUACAUAUGCCUGAAGGAGCAGAAGGUGAUGAUGGAUCAGGAGAAAGCGAGACUGGAGCAGGAGAAAACUAGGGUUCAAAGUCUGUUGCAGGGAAUGCAGAAUGUGAUGAACGCUUACAACGCCAAUGUGGCCGCCCCUCAUCCGGCGAUCCCGGCGGCGGCGGAUCCUUCUCCGGCGAUCCAGAUAGUAACUCCGGCGAUUUCUCAAUCAGCCGUCGGGACUCCUCAGCAGAACAACUUCCGUGAAUCUCCUUCCGGCUGCAAUAUGUACAACACACCAAAUGUUAUGGCAGUGUCAUUGCCAGGUAACAAGAGAAUGUAUUGCGGGAACUUCCCGACACCUUCUACCGGACAGUCGAUACCCAGAAAGCGCAAAGGUCCUGAAUUUUCUUCAGGAGCUCCAUCUGUUUUCAGGAAAACCUGGAACAAGACAGCAACCGAGAACUUGGCUAGCGAUUAUGGUAAGUGUGUUAAUGUGUCCCCUAUGUGUUUAUUCCUUUACACGAUUCAUUUUCCUUGGACUUAUCUCGGAUCUUGUUUUCGGGUUCUAGGGACCGAUAAAUUCCUGCAAUCUGAUAAUAAUGCGGGUAGCUGCUCGAAGUCUCGAAGUCCAUCUAAAAUGCAAACAUUGGCAAAGAUCAACGCAGGAAAUGAGUUGUCUGGCCAUGGAUCCAAUGUAGCAAAGUGUUUGUUCAAUAAAGAUACCAUUGUGUCGCCUCCGAUCACUUCAACUUGCCCUAAGACGCCACAGAAGCAAGUGUCUUCUCAGACCGAUAAAUCUAUCUCCCCACAAGAUGUUACUCUUACUCCUGCAAACUGCACAAUCGUUACAAAGGAGAGAAUCACGGUCAGCCCUCUCAAGCAAAUUACUUCAUAUACAGUGGAAAGGAGCCAUGUGAUUUCGUCAUCACCAGCCAAGUCUAACAAGGGUGGCCAUGCGAAAGGAAGACUCGAUUUUGGAGAUUCUUCCAUGGCGACAGAUGUGGUUUCAACGUCCCCAUCUGGUUCUGAACAGGAAACCGAUUUCUUUGACAUGGAUUUUCCUAAUCUAGAAAUUUUAGGAGAAAACUUUUCCUUCUCAGAGCUACUAGGUGAUUUUGAUCUUGGUUAUGAAGUAGCCGUCGAUCCUUGCCUGCCACUGCCGUCAAAUGUUCCUGAAGAAACUGUUUCAGGGUCAUCCCCUGAAUCAGGGGAUGGGAAUCUAGGGCCUCCUGACCCUGUCUUGUCUGAAUAUACAUCCACAGUGACAGAAGUGAUUCAAGGGAAGGAUGUGAACACACAAGGGCCUGAUGGUAUGACUGCUGUAAAAUCCAUAACCAAAUGCAUAAGAAUUUUAAGUCCUGCAAAGAGCAGCAGGCAGAUUGCCACUACACAGACAAUGGACAUUCUAUGACCUGAUUCAGAUCCGCCAGUGUCAGUCUAACUAUGCUUCUGAAUCCUGAAAGCAGUAGCUGUGUGGCUUAUUAUACCUAACAAGAUACAGAUCAAGUGUACACACACUUGUGUGUGUAUGUGUGUAUGUCUAUAUGGGUGACCUCGUUGGAGACGACGUCGAGCUCCUUCUGAUCCUCUCCCUGAACGUUGACGGCACAUUGAACGCCGGUGAGAACCGGCACGCUGGACCAGAGACGCGAUCUGGUUACACGCCAUGGAUAUGCUCGAGAGUCGAGAUCACGAUCGUCCCCUUCUGCUCCUGCCUCAGCAACCAGAUCGUCAGCGUCCGCACCUCGUAUAGUCUCCACUCUUCUUCGCAGCCACAGCCAUACACCUCACUCCUCCUGCCGCCUCCGCGUGCGUUUCCCGCCAGAGAAAAGAGGGAACGGGUACUCCAGGAAGAGAAGCGUUCACAAUCACAUGGCGCGAGCUGGAGGAGCAGGAGGUGGUGCGACGUCGUUGAGGCGAUUGCUGCCAUUUUCUUGGGAAACAUUUUGAAUCUCGAGCUCUGGCUAUGGAAGUUCUUCGGAGGAGGGAGAGAAGAAAGGGAAUGUUUUGUUUUGCAAGCCGAUGGGCCCCACAUCUCCGAAAAUGACCAUGGGUUCUCUCUUUUCUGGGCCUUAGAUUGUAAUAGGCAGGCCCAUUUAUCCUACAGCCGAUUGGGUUUAUUUUAA